ACACUUACCUGGCAGGGGAGUUACCAUGAUUGAAAAGGUGGUUUUCCCCAGGGUGAGGCUUAUCCAUCGCACUCUGGAUCUACCCACCCCCGCGAUUUCCCCAAAUGUGGGAAACUCGACCGCAUAAUUCGUGGUGGGGGGGGACCGUGUUUGCGUUCUCAAC